GUGCUCGCUUCCACAGCACAUACACUAAAAUCUGGAAUAACGCAGAGAUUAACACAGCCUGUGCAAGGAUGACAUGGAGAGUCAUGAAGCAUUCUGUAAUUUU